UACUGUUAAUGAUGAUAUUGUAUGAAACAAUGGGAAUCUCUCUGAAAGUUAAUGAUGAAAGAAUUAUACUGAAACAGUA
ensembl:snoRNA SNORD79 Small nucleolar RNA SNORD79